rnacentral:rRNA from 1 species
AGAGUUUGAUCCUGGCUCAGGAUGAACGCUAGCGGCAGGCUUAAUACAUGCAAGUCGUGGGGCAGCGCGGGUAGCAAUACCUGGCGGCGACCGGCAAACGGGUGCGGAACACGUACGGAACCUUCCUUUAAGCGGGGAAUAGCCCAGGGAAACUUGGAUUAAUACCCCAUAAGAAUGCAGAGUGGCAUCACUCAGCAUUUAAAGCUCCGGCACUUAAAGAUGGGCGUGCGGCUGAUUAGGUAGUUGGCGGGGUAAUAGCCCACCAAGCCGACGAUCAGUAACUGGUGCGAGAGCACGACCAGUCACACGGGCACUGAGACACGGGCCCGACUCCUACGGGAGGCAGCAGUAAGGAAUAUUGGUCAAUGGACGCAAGUCUGAACCAGCCACGCCGCGUGGAGGAUGAAGGCCCUCUGGGUUGUAAACUUCUUUUAUUUGGGAAGAAACCGGACUUUUCUAAGGCCGUUGACGGUACCAGAUGAAUAAGCACCGGCUAACUCCGUGCCAGCAGCCGCGGUAAUACGGAGGGUGCAAGCGUUAUCCGGAUUCACUGGGUUUAAAGGGUGCGUAGGUGGGCAGGUAAGUCAGUGGUGAAAUCUCUGGGCUUAACCCGGAAACUGCCGUUGAUACUAUCUGUCUUGAAUAUAGUGGAGGUGAGCGGAAUAUGUCAUGUAGCGGUGAAAUGCUUAGAUAUGACAUAGAACAUCGAUUGCGAAGGCAGCUCGCUACACUAUGAUUGACACUGAGGCACGAAAGCGUGGGGAUCAAACAGGAUUAGAUACCCUGGUAGUCCACGCCCUAAACGAUGGAUACUCGACAUCAGCGAUAAACUGUUGGUGUCUGAGCGAAAGCAUUAAGUAUCCCACCUGGGAAGUACGACCGCAAGGUUGAAACUCAAAGGAAUUGACGGGGUCCGCACAAGCGGUGGAGCAUGUGGUUUAAUUCGAUGAUACGCGAGGAACCUUACCUG